AGACCCGAAACCCGGUGAUCUAGCCAUGGGCAGGUUGAAGGUUGGGUAACACUAACUGGAGGACCGAACCGACUAAUGUUGAAAAAUUAGCGGAUGACCUGUGGCUGGGGGUGAAAGGCCAAUCAAACCGGGAGAUAGCUGGUUCUCCCCGAAAGCUAUUUAGGUAGCGCCUCGUGAAUUCAUCUCCGGGGGUAGAGCACUGUUUCGGCUAGGGGGCCAUCCCGGCUUACCAACCCGAUGCAAACUGCGAAUACCGGAGAAUGUUAUCACGGGAGACACACGGCGGGUGCUAACGUCCGUCGUGAAGAGGGAAACAACCCAGACCGCCAGCUAAGGUCCCAAAGUCAUGGUUAAGUGGGAAACGAUGUGGGAAGGCCCAGACAGCCAGGAUGUUGGCUUAGAAGCAGCCAUCAUUUAAAGAAAGCGUAAUAGCUCACUGGUCGAGUCGGCCUGCGCGGAAGAUGUAACGGGGCUAAACCAUGCACCGAAGCUGCGGCAGCGAACGUAUCACCCAAGACAACUUUACGGAGUUGGCGAUUGACGGAGCGAAGCGACGUCAAAGCGUUCAUUAAAGUCGAGUUGGCUUAGGGAUACGUUCGUUGGGUAGGGGAGCGUUCUGUAAGCCUGUGAAGGUGUGUCGUGAG
rnacentral:rRNA from 1 species